AGCAUCAGACAUUGGAGCCAGCUGCAGAGUUAGUACCUGCUUGCCCGGCCCCCUUAGCCUGCCCGUCUUCCUCCGCCGCCUGGGUGAAAGUCUGAGCGGGGGAUGGGCUAGAGUGACGCUGGCGUCUCAUGAAGGGGAACACGCUGAGUGAAAGGAGAGAAAGAAAGGCCUGCCAGAAACACAGGUUCUCCGCUAGCGAAGAGACAGACAAUGAGGCAUGAGGGUAUGCAUGGAAGUGAAGAAAACAACGCGAGGAAAAAGUGAUGGCUGGCCUCUGCGGAAAACCUUGGCCCCUGGCAAUUUCAUACGUCUGCAUGGAUGAACAAAUCUGUUUCCGUCCUUAUACCUAUAUUGUUUUUCCUUAUCUACUCCUUCCAUCUCUCACCACUGGGAUUGGAAAAUGUCAUAAGGGAAGAAAAUUCUGAAUGCUAACAAGAGUAAGAAUCAAUUUAAGGUAGGUCAUGAACUCCCGCCUCCCCAUGCUGUCAUUGAGAAGCUCCAUGAAGCUGAAGCUCCAACGUUCCACCCGAAGACGUGUCGGUGUGGGCACCCUGUUCACAACGACACACCAACAACACAAACACAGCCAAGCAC